rnacentral:rRNA from 1 species
CUGGCGGCGUGCCUAAUACAUGCAAGUCGAGCGGACAGAUGGGAGCUUGCUCCCUGAUGUUAGCGGCGGACGGGUGAGUAACACGUGGGUAACCUGCCUGUAAGACUGGGAUAACUCCGGGAAACCGGGGCUAAUACCGGAUGCUUGUUUGAACCGCAUGGUUCAGACAUAAAAGGUGGCUUCGGCUACCACUUACAGAUGGACCCGCGGCGCAUUAGCUAGUUGGUGAGGUAACGGCUCACCAAGGCGACGAUGCGUAGCCGACCUGAGAGGGUGAUCGGCCACACUGGGACUGAGACACGGCCCAGACUCCUACGGGAGGCAGCAGUAGGGAAUCUUCCGCAAUGGACGAAAGUCUGACGGAGCAACGCCGCGUGAGUGAUGAAGGUUUUCGGAUCGUAAAGCUCUGUUGUUAGGGAAGAACAAGUGCCGUUCAAAUAGGGCGGCACCUUGACGGUACCUAACCAGAAAGCCACGGCUAACUACGUGCCAGCAGCCGCGGUAAUACGUAGGUGGCAAGCGUUGUCCGGAAUUAUUGGGCGUAAAGGGCUCGCAGGCGGUUUCUUAAGUCUGAUGUGAAAGCCCCC